GACGUGCGAGGCAAGCGUUACUCGUCAUUAAUGGGUCUAAAGGGCGCGUAGGCGGUCAGCACAAGUCAGUUGUGAAAUCUCCGGGCUUAACUCGGAAAGGUCAACUGAUACUGUGCGACUAGAGUGCGGAAGGGGCAACUGGAAUUCUCGGUGUAGCGGUGAAAUGCGUAGAUAUCGAGAGGAAUACCGGUGGCGAAGGCGGCAUCCUGGACCGACAUUGACGCUGAGGAGCGAAAGCUAGGGGAGCAAACGGG
rnacentral:rRNA from 1 species